rnacentral:tRNA from 1 species
GAGAAUGUUAUAAGACCUGCUAACUCUUCUAUCUGGACCUAAACGGCCUGCCUUCUCU